rnacentral:rRNA from 1 species
GACGAACGCUGGCGGCGUGCCUAAUACAUGCAAGUCGAACGCAGUGGGGACGGGUGAGUAACAAGUGGGUAACCUCCCCAUCAGCGGGGAUAACACUUGGAAACAGGUGCCAAACCGCUAUUGAUGGAUGGACCCGCGGUGCAUUAGCUAGUUGGUGAGGUAACGGCUCACCAAGGCCACGCUGCAUAGCCGGCCUGAGGGGGGGGUCGGCCACACUGUGACUGAGACACGGCCCAGACUCCUACGUGAGGCAGCAGUAGGGAAUCUUCGGCAAUGGACGCAAGUCUGACCGAGCAACGCCGCGUGAGUGAAGAAGGUUUUCGGAUCGUAAAACUCUGUUGUGAGAGAAGCGGUAUCUAACCAGAAAGCCACGGCUAACUACGUGCCAGCCGCCGCGGUAAUUC